rnacentral:rRNA from 1 species
CGCCUAAAAGCUAGCCCAAAAAUAAAUUUCCAAAAACAAAUUUUUGAUACCCCUAACAGAAACUUAAUAAGAUAAUUAAACCAUUUUUCCGCCUGAGUAUGAGAGACAGAAAAG